rnacentral:lncRNA from 1 species
GUGAGGCUGGAAGGGUCUUUGUGUGAGCUCAGGACGGCGCUGGACAGUUGGGAAGAUAAAACCAGCACGUGUAAUGUAAUACAUGACAAUGGAAGAUUCUACGUAAUUAAGGGUUAACUCUGAAAUCAGAAGACAAGUUUUCCAAGACUUGGGAAGGUGGAGAGAUCAGAGAUCAGUGAGAGAACAAAGAAUCGGAUGGAGUUUGGCUCUUGUCGCCCAGGCUGGAGUGCAAUGGUGCGAUCUCAGCUCACCGCAACCUCCACCUUCCGGGUUCACGUGAUUCUCCUGCUUCAGCCUCCCAAGUAGCUGGGAUUACAGGUGCCCACCAUCUCGCCCGGCUAAUUUUUUAUUUUUAGUAGAAACGGCAGUUUCACUAUGUUGGUCAGGCUGGUCUCGAACUCCCAACCUCAGGUGAUCCGCCUGCCUCGGCCUCCCAAAGUGCUGGGAUUACAGGCGUGAGCCACGGCGCCCAGCCUGAUUAUGGUCGUUUAAUCAGCCCUGCAAUCCCCACUCCAUAAUGCCACCCUGCCAAGCUUCCUGAGCUGCUAUCUUUAAUGUUAGAUGCUGGGGCAGGCAGAAUAGUGCCCCUCAGAUAGUCAUGUCCAACUCCCCAGGCCCUGCCAAUGUGUUACCUUUCAUGGCAAAGGGGAAUCAGGGUUGUAGAUGGAACUGAUAUUGCUGUGGAAUAACAAGAAAGAUAUUUGGUCGUUGUCCCUGGUUUCUGGCACAAAGCUCUAAACCCUUGGAAUUUUGAGCAAUAGAGUGUUAAGAGCCUCUUUUGUUUUAGUGAGGCAACUCUUGUACUUAGCUUCAGGGUGGGAGCUGGCUGCCAGAAAGACCAAGCUUGAUUAGAAGAUCAGCAUUUCCUGCACCCCCUCCCCCAACCUCCAGGGAAGGGAGAGUGGCUGGAGAUUGAGCUGAUCACCAGUGGCCACAGUCAAACCUAUGGACUGAAGCCUCCAUAGAAGCCCCUAAAUGAUGGGGUUCAGGGAGCUUCCAAGUUGGCAAACACAUCCUCAUCCCAGAGGGUGGUGCACCCCAUCUUGACUGAGACAGUGGCUUCUGCACUCGGGACUUACCUUGUCCUGGGUACUUCUUCAUCUGGUUGUUCAUUUGUACUCUAUAAUAAACGGUAAGAGUAAGCACAGCUUUUCCUGAGUUCUGUGAGUCAUUCUAGCAAAUUAUUUAACCUUGGGGUAAUGAGGUAGUUGAAACCUCUUUGUAGGAACUUUCCUUUGUAGGUCAAUCAGCAGAAGUUAGGCUAACCUGGGAACCCAGUCCUUUCUUUGGUGUCUAAGGACAGUCUUGUGUGACUGUGGAGUCACACAAUAACUCCAGGUAGUGUCAGAAAGGAAUUGAAUUGUAGGACACCAAGCUGGCAUCAGAGAGUUGGAGAAGUGGUGUUGGAAAAGACACGGUUGAUGUCAAGAGGAAGAAAAAACCCUCAGUUGUUUUUUUUUUCUUUUUGAGAUGGAGUUUCACUCUUGUUUCCCAGGCUGGAGUGCAAUGGCACGAUUUCAGCUCUCUGCAACCUCUGUCCCCCAAGUUCAAGCAAUUCUCCUGCCUCAGCCUCCCGAGUAGCUGGGAUUACAGGUGCCCACCACCACGCCUGGCUAAUUUUUUGUAUUUUUAGUAGAGAUGGGGUUACACCAUGUUGGCCAGGCUGGUCUCAAACUCCAGACCUCAGGUGAUCCACCCGCCUUGGCCUCCCAAAGUGCUGGGAUUACAGGCGUGAGCCACCAUGCCCAGCCAAAAAAAACCCUCAGUUGCUAAUUAGCUGAUCUUAAAAGUGGGACAUGAUCCAGAUGGACACAGUGUAAUCACAUAAAUCCUUAAACGUGGAAGAGGGAGGCAGAAGAGGAUAUCAGAGUGGUGCCAUCUGGAAAGAACUCAACCACUGUUGCUGUGUUCGAACAUGAAGGAAGGGACCAAGAACCAAGGAAUGUGGGCAGCCUCUAGAUGCUGAGAAAG